UACCUUUGUGCCUGCAUUGGUUUUGAAACCCCGUCCGGGGCGUAGAAUGAAAAGGGAAUCGGGUGAGAAUCCCGAACAGUCCCGCUGCUGUAAGCUCCUGUACAGGUGCCGAGAAUACUUGAAAGCCACUGAUUAUGACGAUUGGGAAGGCCUCGGUUACCGGAGUAAGUCAGAAGACCUGCCAUGCGUUGUGUCAUUAG
rnacentral:ncRNA from 2 species